rnacentral:rRNA from 1 species
UACGGAGGGUGCAAGCGUUAUCCGGAUUUACUGGGUUUAAAGGGUGCGUAGGUGGGUCUGUAAGUCAGUGGUGAAAUCUCCGAGCUUAACUCGGAAACUGCCAUUGAUACUAUAGGUCUUGAAUUAUCUGGAGGUAAGCGGAAUAUGUCAUGUAGCGGUGAAAUGCUUAGAUAUGACAUAGAACACCAAUUGCGAAGGCAGCUUACUAAGUUAUAACUGACGCUGAGGCACGAAAGUGCGGGGAUCAAACAGG